AGACAGAGGGUGCGAAUGUUGCUCGGAAUUACUGGGCGUAAAGCGCGCGUAGGCGGACUGAUCAGUUGGGGGUGAAAUCCCAGGGCUUAACCCUGGAACUGCCUCCAAUACUGUCAGUCUUGAGUUCGGGAGAGGUGAGUGGAAUUCCUAGUGUAGGGGUGAAAUUCGUAGAUAUUAGGAAGAACACCAGUGGCGAAGGCGGCUCACUGGCCCGAUACUGACGCUGAGGCGCGAAAGCGUGGGGAGCAAACAGGAUUAGAAACCCCAGUAGUCC
rnacentral:rRNA from 1 species